GAGGAAUGUUGUUGUUGCUGUUGUUGCUGCUAUUACUUUUUAUAUAAGAAUACGGGGAAGAAAGAAAUCUCAAUGUUGUUGUGAUUUUAGUCUUUCCUGUAAAACACAAUCUAUUUCUAGGCAUAAAGAAUUCAAAGGGUGAGGGAGAGGGAACCGAGGUUCCCUAUAUAUGCAGGAAUUUAGCAUCACACAGUCUUUUCGAUCAAAUCAUGCACUUGUUGAUUGCAUUUACCUAAGUCAGAACCUGAUUGAAAUUUUGUUACCCAUAAUUUUGCUUUCUCAGGUCACUUAUUUUCAUGCAGCAUUCUCAUGCCGGCAGAGUAACAUACAUGAAUCAUUAACAAUGUCCUAAAAUCCAAACUUGCUAGGUUGAUGGAUUAGUAGUACUAAUGGAAGGUGAGCACAUUGGACCUUUCAACUUGGGUAAUCCAGGGGAGUUCACCAUGCUGGAGCUAGCUGAGGUACCACCAGAAAAUUCAAGGACAUAAGAUAUCAUCCAUUCUUUCCACUCUUUUAAGUAACAAAUUUCCAACACCUGUUCAGGUUGUGAAAGAAGUCAUUGAUUCUUCUGCAACCAUUGAAUUCAGACCCAAUACUGCAGAUGAUCCUCAUAUGCGAAAACCUGAUAUAUCAAAGGCAAAGGAACUGCUGAAUUGGGAGCCGAAGGUUACAUUGCGGCAAGGGUUACCCCUAAUGGUGACAGACUUCCAGAAGCGUCUCCUAAGCGCCGACAACUGAGAGUCAAAACAUCAAGUUGAAUCUAUCAUAUGGCUUUCUAGCAGUUAUGUUUAUUUAUCUCUUCGUUGCUGUAAUUUCUAAAUUUUUUGGCAAUAUUUGAUUGCUUGAUUUAUAGUGUCCUCAAUGGCAAGUUAAUUAUUAUUAUUCUUUAAUAUGUGCGAUAGGUUUUGAAGACAAAACUAUUCAUUGAACAAUCAUUUAUAUAUGUUAACAGGGAAAAAUAGCUUCAGCGUUGUUCUUAUUUUUUAUUAGCAAAAGAAGAAUCAUUAUUAAUUGUUCAAACAAUGCGGUUUGAGGGCUGAAGUCAUUUUGACUGACAGGUGGCCCCCAUGUCGACCAGCCCCCUAAAGUUGACCGCUACAAGUCCCCACUUGUACCGCGCGUCCCACUUGCGACGAUGAACGGGCCCUGAUCUCUCGGUACAUCACGAAUCGCAUUUUGAAUUGUCGAGUCCGACGGCUCUGAUGUGUGGCACACUGGAGGCGCCGUGAACCCGAAUUAACCCAUCCCAACCCCUCCUCCUAACCGCGGUUAAUCUGAUCUUCCCUCUAUCCCCCUUUUGAACUCCUCUCUCUCUCUCUGUUCUAGGGUUGAGUCUCGUCGCGCUUUUACUUUUUCUCUCUCUCUCGAUUCGUUGUUAAGCGUCGCCUAUCCUUGUUCUCUGUUCUAGGGUUGAGUCCCGUCUCUCUCUUUCUUUUUUUCUCUCUCGAGUCGUUGUUACGCGUCACCUAUCCUUUUUGGUACGUGUAAGUCGAACUUUGAUUGUCUCACACUUUAAUUUGCCUCCUUCUCAAACUCUAUCUUUUGUGGCUAUAAAUGAAGAAAGGAAAGAAUCCAAGUCCAUUCUGGUGGGCGUUAAACUAAAACUUGAUUCUUCCCAUGUUUUUUAUGCCCUUGUUUUGUUUUAUGUUUAUGUGCUGUGGUGGGUUUUUGGCUUUGGAUUGAAUAAAAACUGCAUCUUGCUGUUGUCUAGGUUUGAGAGGAUGUCGAUCUGCUGCAGUCGGAGGCGAGGGCCGUUGUCGGCGGUGAUUUAGGGUUUCUUUUCAGGUGUCGAUUGGGCGAAUUGCGAUGAAGGGAGGCGAGCAGGAUUCCGCCGGCGUUCCGCUUCCCAGCGGCCGGAGGACCUUUUGGAGGUCGGCUUCUUGGUCUGCUUCCCGGACGUCUGUUCUGGACCACUCCAGAGACUGUGCUUCUGAAGAGAAGAACACGAGCAAUGGCCAGCUACAGCACCGACCUGGGCCUCUUCUUACCCCUAGGUCUCAGAGCCAGAAGGCACGGUCUUGUCUUCCACCUCUCCAACCGCUCGCCAUCGCCCGCCGAAGCUUGGAUGAGUGGCCGAAGGCGGGGUCCGAUGAUAUUGGGGAGUGGCCACAGGCCUCCACCCCAGGUGCAAAGGCUGACGUUUGCAAGCUGGGUGACGGCCUAAGGUUAGAUCUUUCUUCACUGAGAUCCCAAGGUAAGAGAGAUCAAAUUGCGUUCUUUGACAAGGAGUGUUCCAAGGUCGCAAAUCACAUCUAUCUUGGAGGAGAUUAUGUUGCUAGGAACCGAGAAAUCCUCCGCCAGCAUGGGAUUACCCAUGUCCUGAAUUGUGUUGGCUUCGUUUGCCCGGAGUACUUCAAGUCAGAUCUUGUUUACAAGACCCUUUGGUUGCAGGAUAGCCCGACAGAGGACAUCACGAGUAUAUUGUAUGAUGUGUUUGAUUACUUUGAGGAUGUUCGGCAGCAGGAAGGGAGAGUGUUUGUCCACUGCUGCCAGGGUGUGUCAAGGUCGACCUCUCUGGUCAUAGCUUACCUGAUGUGGAGGGAAGGGCAGAGCUUUGAUGAUGCCUUCCAGUUUGUAAAGGCAGCAAGAGGAAUAGCUAAUCCCAACAUGGGUUUUGCCUGUCAACUGUUACAGUGCCAGAAGAGGGUGCAUGCGAUCCCGCCAAGCCCCAGGUCAUUGCAUGGGAUGUACCGAAUGGCACCUCACUCACCUUAUGAUCCUUUGCACCUUGUCCCCAAGAUGUUAAAUGAUCCUUCACCAUCUGCACUGGAUUCAAGGGGUGCAUUUAUAAUUCAUGUUCUCUCAUCAAUUUAUGUGUGGAUUGGUAAUAAUUGUGAGUCUGUUAUGGAGAAGGAUGCAAAAGCUGCUGCCUUUCAGGUGGUAAGGUAUGAGCAAGUGCAGGGGCCAAUCGUGAUGAUUGAAGAAGGGAAAGAGCCCUUAGAUUUUUGGGAAAACUUCCUGAAUGCACUGUCUUUGUAUGAUGGCACAAAGAUUGAGAAGGAACAAGUUGAAGCAGCUAGGUUUGUUGUAGGUAAAAGGAGAGUGGAAGCCUAUGAUGUGGAUUUUGAGCUCUUCUACAAAGCUCUUAGUGGAGGUAUUGUGCCACCAUUUGCUUCUUCAGGACACGAAUGUGAAACACACCUUCCAGCAAGAGAAAGUAGUUGGAGUGUGUUGAGGCAAAGGUUUGUAUCAGUAACCACUGGUAGAUUUUUUUCAGAUACAGCAUUGGUGAGAGAUAUCGAUACUUUCUCUGGUAGGAUGCAGGUAUUGAAUGCAGAGACAUCAAAUUCCCUGUCAUAUCCUUCUCCCAGUAGUCUUUCUUCUCCUGAUUUAAGCAUUUGUUCAAAUUCUAGUUUGGAGUCACCUUCAGUCUCUCUUUCAACAUGCUUCUCUCCUCUCAUGUUACCACCUGCAUCACAUAACAUGCGCAACUCUUUGCCACAAUCAACUGGACCUUCUCAAAAGAUUUCUGACACAGUUGACUCAUUGAAAUCAUCUGUUAGAACAAUUCGUUCUCCAUCCAAGGGGCUAGCAAAAUCUAUUGCUGAAAGAAGGGGAGGUUUUUCAUCUUUCAAACUGCCAACACUUUCCAAAGAUGCUUCACUAAUGUGUCAGAAGGCACUAAAUGCAUCUUCUGCUUGCCAAAUUACACAUGAAGUCCUAGAUAAACUUAAUAUUGAUGAAAAUCAAAAUCAUAAUGUUUUAGGCUGUGCAAAUAGUGUGGGUUUAGAAUCAGGUGUUAAGUGCUUAGCUGAAAAUGCUAUUAGUAGUUCUGAGAACUAUGAAAAUGUAAAGAGAAUUUUUCUAUGGAAGGAUGACCAAUUAUUCCAUGGUUCAAGUGGUCUUGUUGAUGGUAGAUUGGAGAAGCCAAAUCCUGAACUACCCCUUGUAUACCGCUGGCCAAGUAUGGAAAAGCUAGCAACAAUUUCCAAAGAGGAUCUUGAUUCCAGAGAUGUGUUUCUUUUCUUAAUUGAUAGUGCUAAUAGAAGUGGAGAGGCAGGUGGUUAUGUACUAUAUUUGUGGAUAGGGAGUGAAUUUGAACAGGCUGAUGGAAAAACUCAACCAAAGGGCAGCAGAGACAAACAAAUUGUUUCAAUCAAUUGGCACAAAAUUGGAUGUGAUUUCCUUGAUUCAGUUGGUCUUCCAAAGGAUCUCCCAGUUAAGGUACUUUUGGAAUGAUAUCAAUACAUUUUGUAUUAUUCUCUUUGCAGAAAACAAAUUUCUUGCCUGCAAAUAUUUGGCAGCUCUGGUAGAUCGUUUUAUAUCAUUUGUCGGCAGUUCUUAAACUUGCACUGUCAAAAUAUGAAUAUUGCUUUUAUCUUUUUUGAGUGGCAGCAGAAAUGCUAGAUUUUUGUAUGAAAGUUAGAAAUCUGAUCAUCGAUGGACUAGGAAAACCGAAGAAUAGACUUCUACUUCUGAUGAUUCUGAGUAUCUUUGUAAACAUUUCAUCUGAUCCAUGCAUAAAUAUUUAUUGAUGUAAACAAUGGCAUCUUUUUAGAAUUAACUACAGAUACAUGUGCUGUAGACAAGAAGUAUCUACAUGUCAAUUCUGCCAAGAUACUAUCCACCAGCUUGGGUUACCUGCUUCAAGGUCUAGUGUACCUUAACUCUAAAAGCAGUUGCAGAGACAUUUUCUCAUCGAAAAGUGCAUGUAAAAAUAGAGUUCAUCUUUCUUUGGAAGUAGUAGUAUCAAUUUCACAUAGAUGGAUAAUAUCGUAGCCCUGGAAUUGCUGAAAUUAGGCAAGAUAACCAGAGGAAUGAACUGACCAUAAAUAUGUAUGAGUAUUAGAGAAGACAACUGUAUAGACACCAGAAUGCACUUCUAUAACAUUUUACUUAAGGAGGUGUGUGCAUCUUUUAUCUUUUCCUCAUCUGUCAUGUUAUUGCUGGUUUUGCAUACUUUGCCUUUUCUAGAAUAUACUGUAACUAACCUUCACUAAAUGAAUUUUCCUGCAAUUUUUUAUGUAUCUUUAUUGAGGUUACUGGUCAGCUCCAUAUGCAAUGUUUUACCAUCAUUGCCUUCAUUAUGGAGCCGCACAUUGCGAUUUCCUUCACUCCAGCAUGGUCCUUCAGCUUGUAAUCUUCAGUGAUUAGGGUCAGGUUCUGAUGUUCACAAAGUAUUGGUAAAUGUUAAGCAUUCAUGUGAAUAAUGAAUUAAUGAUGCAUAAUGACCUAAAAAUAGUGUAACUUUUUAGAGAGAAAAAAAGUUGUGUUGGAGUAUAGUGUAAUGUUAUGCAUCUUUUGUCCGGCUUGGUCUUUCAUUGAAUGUUGAGUAAUUUAAAAUUAUAGUAAGUAAACAUGGUCUAAGGGUUUCUGUGAGGAGAAGGCAUCGAUUUCAUGGCAUUUAAUGUGUCCAUUGCGAAGAUCAUCAGAUUGAGUUUUAAAGCCACAACUGAUUGUUUAAUUGUUAAAAAAGUUUCCUUUUAAUUAAGGAAGGUAUUGUCACUUUGUCCUUAGCAAAAUAUUAAUUUUUCUAUGUGACAAGUUAUUAACCUGAUGUUCAUAUAAUUCAUGUUGCAGUAGGCAUAUGAUCCUUUUUUUCCCCUGUUGGAUCGAGGAAAAUGUUUUGAUGUUGAAUUCAUAUCCUGGGAGUGGGCAUGAUAUAAUGACUUUGGCUAUACUUGAGAGUUGAGAUAUGUUGAAAGCUAUACAGACAAAAAUGACCAGAAAAAUACAAGAUGGGUUUGAAGAAAUGCAAGAAGGGUUGACUAGAAUUGUGUCGGCUGAAUUGUAUCUGAGAGAUAAAAUAAUUAUUGAUUUUCGUAGAUGUUAGGUGAUCUCUCAAAAUUUGGGGCGUUUUAAUGUGGGAACUUGACAAUUUGGAUUGGGAUUGACUGAUAAUGCAAAUCAUGGAACUUGACAAUUUUUUGGACUAUUUUCUUGUUUCUUUAUUUCUAGUUGGCAUGGAAUAGUCAUUUACAAUCUGAAUGAUGAUAGGUUGUCGAGGAAGAUGAAACAGCGAAGCUCCUGGAACUGCUGAAUUCUUCUUAAGCUUGUCUCGGCAAUAAAAUGUUUUAGUGCCUAACAACGCGACCUUGCUCUGGUGCAUUUUCCUUGCAAACUACGCCCAAUGGAGUUCAUUUUGCAUGAACGGCAAUAGCAAUGCCUGGUAGCUAUCAGCGAGGUAAUGACAGACACUUGUCUACUGGAGUGCAAAUUAUUCUUAUACAUGUUUUUGAUAGAAAUUAGUCUUUGUUCCCCUCCAAUUAAUUUGAUCUAUUCUUAAUAACAGGAGACUGCCCAAACUUCAUCUGUUUGGAGUGCAGGUUCUGGCACACUUGGAUGUAUAUUGCCUGCUCCCCUGUAAGCUCAAACAUUGGGAACAAAGAAUGAAAGCUUUGAUUUUUUAGGACCCACCCAUUUCUUAGUCUUUUAUGCUUCCUUGCACAAUUUAUGAACCAAAUUCUACAUCUUUAUGGGUCAACUCAUCUCUUUUGCCAUCUCCUUAUGCUAAUGUGUUGUUUCUCGAGUUGUGCAAACUAUGAGCUCCAUGGAUAGAGAGUCGUUCUUAAAUUUUUUGUUUUAUUGACAUCUCAGUCGCGGUUCCUGCGAGUGAAUUGAUGAUCAUCGGAACCUUCUAUCGAUGUAUUGAGCUGCUAUGAAUUCAAUCAAGUAUUCAGUGUCGAUCACUCCCUGCAUUCAUCACUGAAGUCGAGAGUUCAAACGAGGUAAUCUAAAUGUUUUGAGAUGCACUCUGAUGCAGCCACAGCCUGUGUUUACCGUGCCAUUUGUUCUCGUUCACCUUCAACCUGACUGAAUGUUUCUUGUUUUCUUCACUGUGCACAAACAGGUGUACUGUCUGUGAAGCUUUAACACUAAGGUUUUGGAAUCAAUCUAUCGUAUCAGGCUGAAUCAUGUUAUCCAAAUACAUCAUGUGAUUGGAGGUGCAUUACAGCAAGUAGUUAGUUAGAAUGCUGUGUACUUCGCCUUAUUAAUUGAACUUGCCCUUUCCAGCAUCGCAUAUAACGAAAACACACCGGAAACCGGAGAACCUUAACGGGAGAAGAAUCGAGUUCCUCCGAACUACCGGUCAAGCAAACGAUCUUGUUUACCCAACAACCAAUUGCGGAUCUCCUCCCCCUUUAAUAGUAGAGCGAGCGAGAGAGAGCGGCGGGUAGAGGACGACGACGUCAUACUUUCCCCGGUCUCGCCCACUCGAUCCCAUCGAAACCCUAAUUCCGAACGAGAAACCUCGACAAAUCCCUCCUCCUCCGAUUGGCCCCCUUUCUCCCCGGCCCAUGGAUUCCGACGAUUCCGUCACCGAUCCGAAUCCCCACCACCCCGACCCUUCCCUCGACGCUGAGCCCGCCACGGUGGAACAGAUGGGUUCUCUCACUUUGGGAGAAGCCGGCGACGCCGCGGGCGCAGAGCGGCCGGUCGGCAACGGUUUUCUGCCCGCGGAUUUCUACGCGGCCGCGGGUGAGAUCGAGGUCGUGGAGGAGGGGUCGCCGGUCUCUGGGGAUCUGGCCGGGCCUUCGUCUCUUGGUGGCUCUGGUGCCUGUCGGGAGCGCUCGGGCCGCGGGGACGCGCUGCCUAGCCCCAGCAGCAGCGGUUACGCUGGAGAGAGGGGGAGCAGUGGAGGGUCGAGCGAGAUCGAGGAGGCCGAUGACCGAGAGACGAUGCUGGAUGAUUGGAGCCGCGGGAAGCGGCAUCCUGACGAGGUGACUAGUUUUUGGUCUUGUGAAUCUCUGGUGGUCUCUGAAGUUCUGCAAGUUUUCAAGUUGGUGAAUGCAGUGCUAGGAUCUUUUAUACCCAUUUGGCAUGUUAGCAUGUAUUACAUUCACUAAAAUCUGAAGUUGCCAUGUCAAGUUCAUAUGUGAUUGAUUAUCUCCUUGUGCUAGUUCAUUGUGCUAUCUGAUAACCUUGGAAGUUUGAGUGCGCAGACUAAGAAAUAUUUUCCAGCAUGUUGAUUGUUAUCCUUCUUCUAAGCUUUAAGAUUUGGCCAGGCUGGUUAUUUUUUUCCCUUUUAUCUGAAAUGUAGGAUGAUGGUUCAGUUUCAUGGAGAAAGCGAAAGAAGCACUUCUUUAUUCUGAGUAACUCUGGGAAGCCAAUAUAUUCUAGGUAUGCCUAGAUUUAUGUGCUUGACUUUUAUAUACUUGGCACAGUGUUUAUCACCACACCAGCAUUCACAUCAUGAUUAAAUAAAAUUGGAACCGAUUCACAUGUCAUCUUACUGCAAUUUCAGGUAUGGGGAUGAGCAUAAAUUAGCAGGAUUUUCAGCAACUUUGCAGGCUAUUAUUUCUUUUGUAGAAAACAGGUAUGAUAUUUUGCUGAUCAGUUUUAUCAUUCAGCCAAUUUCUUGAAAAUUUGGUUCCAGUGAACUGAUUUUAGACAUUCUUCAUAUAUUUUGCUAGUGGAGACCGUCUGAAGUUUAUAAGAGCUGGGAAACAUCAGGUCAGUUGUGGCCUUUAUUUUGUGUUCAGUUACUGCACCCUUAGAUCUUAUAUUUGUAAGGGCACAUAAGUUGUCCUUGUUGUAAAUAGGAAGAUGGCACACCAUUUGACAUUUUAUAUGGAAACACUUUAUUUUUCCAACAUGAACGUGCUCACUAAAGUUCUGAAAAAGUUGAUUGCUGGAAUUUGAGGAACGGUGAUCUUCGUCAUAUUUACAGAUAAGAUUAGAUCCCAUAAAAGAAAAAUCCAACCCUACAUUCUUUGAAGAUCCUGAUUAGUAUAAAAUCUGUGCAAAAUGAAAAAAAAUAGAACAAAAGCAGCCUGAUCAAGAUGCAAUACCAGUAAAUAUCUUGAUUCUUAUAACUUUUCAGAUUUGUUUGGUGAAACUGUCAAAUUUUUAUUUUUCUUUUUAUAUACGAAUUAUUUAAUCUUUCCCCCAUUACUCUUCCCUAGUUGUUGGCUUGUUGCAAGAACCUGGUAUGUUAGACUUUUCAAUUUGUUGGUAAUUGAGGAUUUGCAGUCAUGUGCUGGGAUACUACCAGUUGUUGGGCUCGGCAGAUUGGCAUCAUUGUCAAUUCAUCACUUUUAUGAAUCCUGAAAUUGUUCAUCCAUUUUCUUUCAUCUUAAGUGCUCCUUUGAUAAAACAUAUUUGUCUUACAGCCUUGAAAAUUCUUCUGUUUUCCUUCCCUUUUCUUAUGAUUCCAUCAGUGGUGAAGCUCAGUCUUAUCAUUUCAUUGCAAACUUUGUAAGAAGAUUGUGUUUACUUGUUUGCUUUGUUUGUUCUAAUUUAAAAAUGAAUAGUUCUUUUAUCGUAUAUGGUGUAACUUCUUUAAUGUUUCGUUCAAUAAGAAAUUUGCAAUUGAUAAUUAUGAUGUAUCAGUGACUUUAUAUGUUGUUGCUCUACAAUAAGUAUAUGUUGCUAUACAAAUUGGUUUGCUGCAAUUUAUGAGAUAGAAUGAAGUUCUUUAGUUGUUUCCAUCAUAUGAUGGGCUUAUAGUUUACACGCACACCAUAUUUUAUUUUAGAUUGUGGAGUUAAUGUGAAAGGUGUUCAAUAAUCUAUAUUUCAUAUCUAUUUUCACCCUUGUGUAAGUUAUUUUGCAUUUUUGUUUGCUCAGGUGGUUUUUCUUGUAAAAGUUCCAAUAUAUUUAGUGUGCAUAAGCUGUACAGAAGAGCCAUAUGAAGCUUUGAAAAGACAGUUGGAGCUUAUUUAUGGUCAGGUACUUCAUGCUUAACUUUAUAACACCAUGCACUGUUUGACCACCCUUAUUUUUUCUUUUUGCCUUUAGUGAUUUUCCUUAUUAUUUAAUCAAGUUUGUCCUUAUGGUUCUGUAAAUGGAUACACUUUUUUAUGUUUAAUUUCAAAGCCUUCUUUGUUAUUAUGUUGAUCCAGAUGCUGCUUAUCUUGACAAAAUCGGUAAAUAGAUGUUUCGAGAAGAAUCCAAAAUACGACAUGACCCCAUUGUUGAGAGGAACUGAUGCGGUCUUCUCUUCUCUGAUUCAUGCAUUCAGCUGGUUUGUAUUUUCUAAUCCGAAGCCAAAAGCUUUGGUUAUUUGGUACAUUAGUUAUAGUUGCUCUUCUGCUCAAAGCAUCAAAUUUCUUUUUUUUCAACAAACAGAUCCUUCUGUGCUGAUUCUCUUGUAGUUGAUGACAAAAAUGUGACAGACCAAUAAACUUUCACAUAGGCAUUAACAUUAGUACACGGUAGCUAAAGCUCAAAACAUGAUAACUAUGAUUAUAAGACUUAAGGAAAUUGUAUGCAUUCAUGAAUCAUUCAUGUUGGUACAUUAUGGAUUUCUUCACUAGCUGUAUCAGUGUGCUGUAGUUGUGGUUUCUUGUGCCAACUCUGCCCCUAGACACAUGCAAAAGGAUGAACUUUUGCUAUAUAUAUGUAUUAUAAUGCUCCUAGUGGAGCAACUUGUAAAUUGCUUCAACAAUGAAAAACAGCUAGAUGCCCUUGGUCGUUUAAUUUUGAAUGUAUCUAUCAAGGGUGGACCAGACAUUUAGUAGCAUGUCUUGCUGUGCAUUUAUUAGUAUAACAAAUGGCCAACCUAUCCUUGAGUUUACCUUAUUCUUCCUUAACAGUGCCAAGGGUAACAUCAUCCGUGUGUGUGUGUGUGUGUGAGAGAGAGAGAGAGAGAGAGUUGCAUAGUCAUUUUAUGAUAAGGUAAAUAAGAAUGUUCUUUGAGAUUGUCGUAGUAUCUAAAAUAAGAUGUUAAUAAUCUAGAAUAUGAUGAGGGAUGCCGUUGACUUCUGUUUUACAUAUUUCAGGAAUCCUGCUACAUUUCUUAAUGCAUAUACUUGCCUUCCUCUGUCUUAUUCAACAAGACAAGCUGCCAGUGCUAUAUUGCAAGAUGUUGCUGAUUCAGGAGUUUUAUUUGCAUUAUUGAUGUGUAAGAACAAGGUUUGUUCAAAGUAUACAAUGUUUGCAGAUGUUUUUGGUUAUGAACCACAUAAAGAGAUUAAGCAACAGCUUGUCAUACUUUACCUGUUUAUCAUAAAUCAUUCCUGUAAACAUUGGUUAACAAAAUUGCACCACAUAUGGAUUUAUACACUUGUGUAAAGCACCAAAAUAUGCUUGUAUAUCAUUCUUAUUUGCUGCAUAUGGCUUUAUACAAAAUUGCAUAAACAUUGGUUUACAAAAGCACCAAAAUAUGCUGGUAUAUCAUAUUCUUAUUUAAUGCCUGAUAUUUCACCCUAUUUUUUUGGUUGAAGAAGUAAACAUAUCCAUGUUUGAGAUGCAAGAGAACCUUUUGUGCUUAUGAAUGUGUCUGGUUGAGUUAGCCAUUUUACUUCACUUAGGAUAAAACUGAUAUUUUCUGGCUUUGGCUAAUAAAGAAUGGUUUCCAUUGUUUGGGUAUAGAAAUCAUGAGAGUAGCUAAUUCUAUCACAGCCAUUUGUCUGUUCAGUCUGGUUGAGUCCUUUUCUUUUCUCUUCCUGUAAGAUCUGUAAGACUACUUGAGGAUUUGAGUGCUGUUUGCUUUUCCCAUGGAGGGUGAUCACUGUCAUGGUACAUGGCACAGGCCCCAGCUUUGUCAUCAUAAUCGCAUCAGCACUUAAAUUUUCUGUGCUAAUCCUAAUAAUAAUUUAGACUCAAUCAACAUUCAUUUUUCUCAUUCUUGAAUCCUUCCAUAUUUUAAUGUUUAUCGGUUCAAUAUUCUUCAAAUAUGAAGUUUUCCAUUGUGCACCCCUCAUAUUUUGCUUCUCAUCGCUUUUUGAAUCUCUGUAGUAUUGUUGUUUCUUUAGGAAAGAGCUGUAAGCCUGAUUUUUCCUGCAGACAGUGUAGAAAAUUAGUAGCAUCUUCAAGAUCUUCAUGAUUUUCUUUUUUUGAAAGACUCUACCAUUUUAUCAUGUAUAGCUUGCUUCAAGGUGUGCAGUGCAAUUCCUCAAAUAUUCCUCCUGUAAUAGUCUGAUCAACAGUAUGAUAGAGGAUGACCUAGGAAGAAUUAGUAAAAAAGAUAAAUAAUAGAGUAUGAAAAGUUGAUGGCCCCCAAAAGAUCUUGUGACACUGCCCUGUGUAUUGGACCUAGAUUAUAAACCUUGAAUGGAUCCAUUACCAAGUACCAACAUAAUUAUUUUACCUAGAAUUCCAUCAAAUAUUUAUGAUAUUUGUUCUUUUUAUACAUGUUCUAAUUUGAGAAAUGCCAACUUUAUUUUAAGCCUUAAUCCUUUGACAUACAAGUUCUUCAUCCUUGGCAUGCAUCGGAAAGCUGACUUCGCUAUACUAUGCUGCAGGUUGUCAGUCUUGUUGGAACUCAAAAGGCAUCUCUGCACCCUGAUGACAUGCUGUUACUUUCCAAUUUUAUAAUGUCUUCAGAAUCAUUCAGGUAGUCAUCUUUCUUGGAUUCAAACCCAUGUUUAGGACAACUACUGUACAGUAAUUAUAAAUCUUGUGAGGACAAUGUCCGAUAUUAUCCCAUUAGAGGUGGAUCUGGAUUUGACCUAUCUAUAUAAAUCAUACAUGACAAUGGUACCUGAUUUCGGAUUUGGCAACCAAAUGAAAAAAGUCAAGUGAAAGAAUCACUUAGGAAGAUAAUUGCUGUAAAUACAAGUAAUUGUAUUUUCAGACUGAUGUAGGUGUGUGACUUGUGCAGUUGAACUAUAUAUUCAAUUAUGUCUUAAUCGAUUCUGAAGUUCAAUGGUUUAUUGACAUUUUAGUUUCAUAAUCUUCAUGGCUUUUUCAUACUGUAUCAGCAAUCACUAUGCAGAAAGACAUGUUUUUUUUCUCUCAGUAAUAACUCUAUGUUAUCUAACUUAACUGUCAAAUAUUUUUUUCCUAUAAGAAUAAAAAUUUGUCUUUUCUUAUAACUUAGCUUUUAACAUUUUGCAUGAGCUUUUUUAUAGCACUGCAUGACCUUCUAGAGCGUAAAGAUUAUUGAACUUAUUGGAUGACAAUGAUACAAUUUUAAAUCAUAAAUCUUGGACUUGUUUAGAUAACUAUUCUCUUGUAUGAUUCCAUUUGCAUCGUGCAGGACUUCCGAGUCUUUCUCACCAAUUUGCUUGCCAAGAUACAAUCCAAUGGUGUUCCUUUAUGCUUAUGUCCAUUUUCUUGAUGUGAGUGAGAUAUAAUAUCCCUGUAGAAUUCAUCUUGUACCUUUGAUUUUGCGAACUGGGUCGAAAUAUAUAUUUGAUCAAGAUUCAUGGUUUUCAUUGGGAAAGAACUUUGUCCUUUUCAUGGAGUUGUCAGAGCACUGGCUUAGGUUACAAUCUCAGCAACUUAUCAUUGUUAUACAGGUGGAUACAUAUUUGACAUUGCUUACUACCAGUUCAGAUUCUUUCUAUCAUCUCAAGGAUUGCAGGUGAGCUGCUACAUAAAGAAACAAUAAACUUCAGCACAUAGCAGUUAUUUUCUUUCUAUUGCUGCUCCACAACAUAGGGAUAAGUUUUUGCCAUACUGUAACAAAUAACAUCAGUUCCAUUGAUGAUAUCAAGGAUUCGCGUUGAGACUGUGCUUGUGAAGUCCAAUGUUCUCUCUGAAGUUCAAAGAUCAAUGCUAGAUGGUGGUCUACGUGUUGAGGAUCUCCCACUUGAUUCUUCUCUUCGGUCUAGGUCUCUGACAACACCUGAACUUUCCUCUUCUCAAACUGGCAUCGGUGGCCCCUCUGGACUAUGGCAUUUCAUGUAUAGGAGCAUCUACCUUGAUCAAUAUGUAUCAUCGGAGUUCUCCUCACCCAUAAGCAGUUCAAGUCAACAGAAAAGGUGCUAUUGCUGGCUUUACACAGUGUUUUGUGAUGUUUGCAGCUUUUUGUACCUACUUGAUAUAUCUACGUGGUUCACCCUCAUAAAUUAAUAAAUCUAAUGAACAUGCAGGUUAUUUAGGGCUUACCAAAAGUUGUAUGCUUCAAUGCAUGAUAAUGGAACUGGUACACAUAAAACACAGUUCAGAAGAGAUGAAGAUUUUGGUGAGUUUUAAGUCUAGUAGGAACAUGAUUUCCACUUUGGAAGUGUGGGAAUUGCUAUAUUUUUUUACAGUAUGUAGUUUAUUGUUUUUCAUGGGCCUACCCCAGCACCUGCACUUUCAGCAGUUUGUGCACUGGGUUGCCCUUUUGAGUGGCUUGUUUUGUGGUUCCCUGGUUUUGAUCAGUCUAGCAUUUUUUUUUAAAUCUAUACAUAAUCUUAACUUGAGUUACAACUGGCAGUUCUCCUGUGCUGGAUCACUCAAGAUUUUGAACUUUAUGCAGCAUUUGAUCCACUUGCAGACAAGGUUUGAUUCUCUUUCUUCUUUUGUGAGUUCUCUUGUUUAUUCUAUCCCAGUAUUGAGUUUUGCUUGACACAGAACAAGAACAAAGAUGAUCCUAAUUAAGACUUAUGUAAUGGUGUUUGAUCUGACUCUAUGGCUUUACUGCUAUUUAUAACCUUGAUACGUUUUGGCUGAUGUAUAACCUUGAUACGAUGGGAAACUGACCUUGGUUAGGAUAAAUUUGCAGGCUCUCGCAAUAAAGACGUGCAACAGAGUUUGUCAAUGGGUAAGAGAUGUAGAAAAUGAGAUAUUUUUGUUUGGUGCAAGCCCCUUUUCGUGGUGAUUUUUCACCAACACAACACUUCUUGCUAUUUAUAUAUGACCUUGGAGCACACAUCUUUUACUGUGAACGAGAUUGGAGCAGCCCCUCUAUACAAUGUAGCUAUCAGUUAUAUGUAAUAAUUUUGUUUUUGUUGCUAAUAAAAGGUUUUUAUGUUGCAUUAUCAUUGAGCAGUGUAGAAAAUUCUUGAGCUGUCUAUUACUAUAAGUGAAUUGUAAUUCCAGGGUUUGCCAAAUUGUACCACACUCUGAACAAAUAAGCUCGGUUUUUUUUUUGUUCAUUUGUUCUUCGUGUCUAUGAGCAAUAAAAGUUGUAAUAAGAGCACAUGCAUUCAUUACCAUGAGGCUUUGUUUAACUGAGGUACUUUGGUGCAUCCAAGUGCGAAUGAACACAAUAUUCUUAUUAUGCUAUUCAUUGAAAAUUUGACAUGUUUGACAUUGUGAACAUCAAUCGCAAACGAUUUUCUUAUGGAGGUGAAGUGAGUCGAACAUAAGUUGUAGCUACCGGUGACUUGUAGCCACAGUACAGAGGAAAACAGUCAGAGAAUGAUUGAUAAUAGGAGAGGGGAUAACUUACUUUACCGGCAAAAGUGAUGGUGAUAUAUAAGCUUAGGUAUUUUUUGGAAUGUGCUUAUUGUGGGGUUAUUGCCGUGAGAGAUGGACUUUUGAGUGGCGGUACAGCAGAAUAGAUGUAGAUCGAUUCAAAGCGGCGGUGCAGAAUGGAUGUAGAAUGAUUCAUAUGGAAUCUGGUUCCUCCAUGGGUCGUUAGAAAUGUAAUUGACAUUUGAUAUGUAUUGAGCUCUUCUCAUUCCUAUGUAGUCUCUCAUAUGUAUUAUAGAGAGGGGAUGAGAUGAUGAAUUGAUCAUCUCAAUAUGACAGGGUAACUUUUUUUAUUUUCAUAUUUUUGGAAUAGGGGAGUGGCUCUCUCAAUUAUAUCCUUUUUUACGUUUUGAUCUACAAAGCUCCUUUUGUGUUUUUGAUACUUUAAAAAAAAAUCUAGAUUUUUUUAUAUAGUGAAGAAUUUAUUUAUUUUCCUUAUAUAUAGAUAGAAUAUGUCAUAUCACGUUAAUUUUACAUUAUUUUUUUAUUAUAUUUUUUUAGUUAUAGAUGUUUUAUUUCUCUUUUUGAUUUUUUUUGAAGUUCUCUUUUCCUCCCUAACAAAUACAAGUGGCAUGAUAUAUAUAUAUAUAUAUAUAUAUAUAUAUAUAUAUAUAUAUAUAUAUAUAUAUAUAUAUAUAUAUAUAUAUCAUUAUUUGAACGUGAUCAAACCAAACCAUGUUAGAGGUUGACAUGUUAGAGAGACAUAUACUAAAUUCUUAGUGGAGUUGUGCCCGAAUCGAACUCGAGUUCGAGUUUUAACUUAUGCACAAACUUCGAACUAUUUUGACACCCAAUUUCCUUCUCUGUGGAUCUUGCAACAUAUCACAUCCCAAUUUCCAACAUCAGCGGGUGGAGAAGAAAGAUCCAAACGGACCGUCCAACUAACCCACAUAGUCAGUCCAUCUUCCUUUCAAACCUCAUCACGUUUGUACAGCAAAACACCAAAAGACGCCAUAGAAUGGCUGGUUACCUUGUGCUCUGUCUUCGUCUCCCGACGUCUCCGACCGACAUAAAAUAAACUUGAUCUAAAAUAAAAGAAAAAAUAACAUUCCUGGACAGCACAAGAUCUAAAAUCCCUGACACGAAUUGAUUAGAGUGGCCAAUGGAGCCACAAUCCCAAUGUUGCGCUAUCAGAUUUGGGUUUCUCGGUCACUAAAUAAACUUGAUUGGAGUUCGCAUAUCUCAUCCCUCUAAAUCUCCCACAUACCAUUUUACGAGUAUGCACGGAAGUGGCCAAUGUUUAUCCACGUCGUCGAGUGGGCGACGGUGGCGGCCGAUCCCCAAGCGCGUUUGCGUCAAACGGUCCCCAUGAGUAAACGUGGCGGUCGCGGAACGAGUCGGAGGCCCGUCCCCGUGACCUCACCGUCUGACCGAAAGGUGUCCGGCCGGUAGGUCCUCUCUCUCACCCGUUUCACCGUUCAUCUCGCCCCUCUAUUUAACUGCCGCAACUCUGAACAAGGCACUAACAGAGUGAUCUCCAAGUCAAUACUCUCUGCUGCAGAAGAAUAUGCCGAUCGGUAGCAUAGCAAUCGGAGCGCCCGGCGAGGCGAGCCAUCCCGACACGAUCAAAGCCUCCCUCGCGGAGUUCAUCUCCACGCUCAUAUUCGUCUUCGCCGGCGAGGGCUCCGGGAUGGCUUUCAGUAAGCUUCAUCUCCUCCCCUCGAACUAUAUCGACAGUUGAACGUGUUUGAUGAAUUAACCGUCUGAUGGCAGAUAAGCUAACAAAUGACGGCUCCACGACGCCAGCAGGCCUGGUGGCGGCGUCCUUGGCCCACGGCUUCGCCCUCUUCGUGGCGGUAUCAGUCGGGGCUAACAUCUCCGGUGGUCACGUCAACCCGGCCGUCACCUUCGGGGCCUUCCUCGGCGGCAACAUCUCUCUGAUUCGCGGGAUCCUCUACUGGAUCGCGCAGCUGCUCGGAUCCGUCGUCGCCUGCCUGCUUCUCAAGCUCGCCACCGGUGGACUGGUCAUCUCCCACGAAAACUCGAUGGCGAUGUCCCCAUUACCAUCGGCGUGACUGACACAUUUCCGCUGCGUCCGCGUGCAGGAGACGUCGGCCUUCUCGCUGUCGUCGGACGUGAGCGUGUGGAACGCCGUGGUGUUCGAGAUCGUCAUGACCUUUGGGCUGGUGUACACGGUGUACGCGACGGCGGUGGAUCCGAGGAAGGGCGACCUGGGAGUCAUCGCGCCCAUCGCCAUCGGGUUCAUCGUCGGCGCCAACAUCUUGGCGGGCGGGGCGUUCGACGGCGCGUCCAUGAACCCGGCGGUCUCAUUCGGCCCGGCGGUGGUCAGCUGGACCUGGGACAACCACUGGGUGUACUGGGUCGGCCCGUUGAUCGGGGCGGCCAUCGCAGCUUUGGUCUACGACGGCGUCUUCAUCGGCCAGGCGACCCACGAGCAGCUUCCCCCCUCAGAUUACUAGGCGUGAUUGGGUUGGAAUUCCCACUCUAUUCAUGCACUGUUUUGGGAGAUGAUCUCCCACUGGCCAAAUGUGUGUAGUUGUGCAAUAUGAAGUAUAUAUAAUGUUUUAGAAAAAGAAACUAAAUCAUUUUGUUUAUACUUCUUUUCUUUGGUGAUUAUGAAUUUAAGUUAUUAUUAGUUUAAAAUAAUAAUAAUAUUAUUAUUAUUAUUAAAUAGAUAUAAUAUAAAUCAUUCGAAUUUGUCACAACAGUACAACCAGUAUGAAAUUAUUAUGUGUAGUGUGGAAGUGGCAAGUCAAAAUUGACCUUGCAACAAAAAUCUAAGUCAGUCAAAUAGGAGGCUUAUUUUAGGUAACGUCUUUGAAGCGGAUGGCGGAAGAAAAUAACGGCUUACUUGUAACGGAUUACGACCGUGUCGGGUUGGCCGUUAUAUCCCGUCGGAAACGGGGCUUUAAAACCUUGCUUGCCCGCUCCUUUCCCCGUUGCAAUCUUUGCUUCCCAUUCCCAUCACCCACUCCGCGAUCAAGAUUGGAAACCCUAACCCUCAGUCUUCCGAAUCCUCUGCAGGAGUCGAAACCUCGGUGAUCUAGUUAGACUCCAGCCGCUGUAUCGGAUUGCAGGUGCGCAAUGACGAUCGAAGGAUCGAGUCAUGGUAUGUGUUCGAGUUCCUUGCGCGUUCCUUCUUGAUUUUAUUGGUGGAUCAUGCAUUGAUGGAUUUGAGUGUUUCGAUCGACCAUAGGGAUUCCUGGUAUGUUUUAUUGGGUUCAUUCACAACCCUAAAGGAGAAAGGUAAGGAGCAACACUACCCCAUUUAAAGAUCAUAACAUCGAACCUUUUGUGUUCGGUGAAUCAAAAUUCUCAUUGCCUCUUGGUAGUUGAAAGGUCUAUAUGCUUUUUUGUGAGAAGCAGCAGCUGACGAGACAUGGAAUUUAAUUGUUCCAUUGGCUAUGUUGUCCUUCUAAUGCUUUCUUGAUCAAAGUUUCUUUUCCUUCUCCGAGUGUUCUGUUCAAGAUUGGUCUUAUUAUUUGCUUAAGAAAGGCAUAAUGGGUUUGAUUAAAAAAGUCAAGAAUUUUCAUUUUUUUUCCCAAAAUUUGGUAUUUUUUUAAAAAUAUGGAAUUAAGUCUUUCCGGGAACAUUUUUUAACCAGUGACUUUUAUGGUAUAAUUUAGUGAUUCUUCUUGCUUCAGCUCAUCUUGCAGGAGUCUUCAGUUGCUUUAGGUCCAUCUAUAGGGCUGUUUUCUUCAGUUUCAGAUAUAUAUUGUCUUUCUAUAAAAUCUGGUGGAGUUUUUAUCUGUCUUGUUGUUAUUAUGGUCAAGCAAUCAUUUUGGUUUAGGAGAUAAAGGCUUUAAGAAUUGAUUGGUCACCAUAAUCCUUAUAACUCUUCUAUUUUAACCAAGAACAGGUCUUUUCUAGUAUGGCUGAUUGUAAAUAACUCUUAAAACCUUUUGAGGUACCUCAAAACAAAUUCCACCUGCAUUAUAUUCUAAGAACACUUUAAGACUAGUCUCAUUCUGACAAUUUGAUGCAAAAUGACUGCAAUUACGUAUCUGAGACUUCAAAAAUAUACAUGCAUAUUCACUGAUGCCAUAAAUGCACAACUAUACUUCAAGUUAACCUUCAGAGGAUGCCACUUAGUUGAACUAGUUGAAAAUUGCUUUUUCUGAAUUCCAAGUUGUCAAAUUUUUUUAGCUAAAUUUGUAUUUUAGGACACCCACAAUGAUUAUUUGAUACCUUACUGUCCCUUUAUAAUGCCUAGGAAUCCAGGUUCCGCACCACUCUGAUAGUGGCACAACACAGCUCUUAAUAUGAAUUUUAUUUCUUUGUUCUCUUGGAGACUAUAUAGACAGUGAUAGAGGCCAGUAUAUGAUUUGUAAUUACAGAAAAGAGUAUUUAUUUAAUACUACCAUCAGUCUUUAAGUCAAUUGAGAGGCAGGUGAUGAUAAAGUUGCACCAAGUGUGAACCUAGAAAUUCAGAUCAAAGUUAAACAUGUAUCAAAUUUUGUUCCCUAUCACACUUGUUGAGAUAUGGAACUUUCUCUCUUUUUCAUCUUCUAUCCAUAUUUUGAUGCAUCAAGACAAUGAAAAAGAAAAACUAUAAGCUGAAAAUCUUGAAUAUCUCUAAGAAGAAAAUGAUUGUGUGAAUUUAGCCAAAAUGAAAUUUAGCAGAUUGAAGAUGCAUAUCGGAGGUUUUUACCAGUUCAUACAUCCAUCUGAUGAAUAGCUGCAUGAUGUGGUGAUUCUACUUUUCCUCUAGUUACUGUGGUUAUCAUAAAUAUCUCCAAAUUUACCAUCAAUGGUAAGGUGGAUAGCCACUAGUUGACCACAAAACUGAUUGACAGACCAUUCCUCAGUGGAAUAUCAUCUGAUAGAUUAUUCAGACAUGUAUUUCUUCUAUGAGAACAAAAACAGUUUGGAUGAAUAAACUCAUUAGCUAUCAUUUACUGAUGCAGUUUGUUGGCAAUAACAUUAGAAAUGUAAAGGUUUCAUUAGUUAUGAAGUCUGGAUUGUAUAUAAUGAAAUAAACAUUAAGUGUAAGUUCCAUGUACUGUAUUUCAACAUUGAGCACUUUAAAUCUGUUGAAAAACUAUUGAGACAGUCACUCAUGCCAAAAUUUACAACUUCAAAUGUUUUUGAUAAUUAAUUAGUUUGAUUUGAUAUGGUGGUUUUUCAAAUUAUGAAACUUUAACGAUUUCUAUAUGUCGGCUUUUAUCAAAGUUCCAGGAUUUUUACUCUCUGGGACUGAUGAUGUUAUUUGUUGCAAGAUUUCAUUAUACUGCACUUUAACUCUCUACAUUCUUUUAAGGUGUAUACUUUGACGGUUUGACCUUUCCACUCUGUGAUGGGCAUUCUAUAGACAUUGAGGAACCUUCUAUAACUUGCAUUAGGAACUAUACUAUCUUAUAGACUCCUGGAAUUUGUGGUUUUAGUUUAGCUGGUUAAUAAAGAUCAUGGUAUUUGUAUCUUACAUCAGUGAAUUUUUUUAUCAUGUUAUUAUUACAUGUAUUUCAUUCUGACCUGUAAAUUUUAUUGUCUGCUUGUUUAUGGUCAUUCUGCUAGAUACAGCCUUAUUGUUGCCUAAGUGUAAAUUAUAGUAUUAGUUUCCAGUAGGAAGAUGUCUCAUUUUGUGAGCUCCACCACUUUAGUGCUCUUGAGAAGAGUUAUAAAGGCACUUGUAGCCAACAAGUUGCCUUAACCUUAGAAUUAACUCCUCCAUGGUACAUGCUCACUCAUGAAAUAAAUAUGUUUUCAGAAAACCGAUACAUUCUUCUCUCUCAUGACUGCCUGUUGCUGUAAAAUUAUGUUAUUAUCUGUUUUCCAAUUUUUACUUCAGAAGUAUAUUUUAAUAUAUGAUUAAUUGCCAUAAUAGUUGCAACCCCAAUCAUUUCAACUUUCAGCUCUUUGAACAAGUUGUCUAAGCAUACAUUUAGUCACUGAGUAGUUUGCUAGAAUGGCUUAGAUUAAAAGAUUGAACACAGCUACAUGUCGACAAUAACAUUCCGAAUUUUCACAUGAUAUUCUUUUUUGAAUCUGUUGAACCCGAUUCAGUUGUUGAUCGACAAUAUUCACUUAAAGCCUGAUUGAUUUGUAAAGAUAGAUUAUAGGAUUGCAAGCAUACAAUAGAUCUCAUAACAAUUGCUUUCCUCCCACUAUUUGCAAUGUGAACAGCCAUGGAAGUUCUGCAAUAUCAAGAUCCGGAUCAUGAUAGUCUUCUGUGUGUUGUUGAACUUGAUGUAUGGUGCCACCAUAUAUUUGAUAAAGGUGACCUAGAGUCCUUACAGAGAUCUAAGCUGUAUAUCCCUCCUGGAAGUUUUCUACACUUAAUUGUCAGUCAUGAUUGACAGUUAUGAAAAUAGUGAGUUCUGCAAUUUGCACAUAUGGUCCAGUAAAUUGGUCUUUCUGCCACAUCUCAAGUGUCAACCAUCUUGCAAAAUAAAAUUGAUAAAUGUUUCCUCAAGUGGACUAUGGCAUUUGGCCACUAUAUUUCACAGUUUCUAAGCUGUUGCUGAUGUUUUGUAUGGUAGCUUCAUUCAAACUUCAGGUUGGUUUGGUUUUUUUGAACUGGCUUGGGUUUUAGCAAAGUGCAAUGGCACAUAAUUACUAUCCACUUGAUUAAUUUCUCGUGCUUCUAAUUUUAGAUCAUUCAACAAUGACAAGCCUAAUCUGAAAUAUCCAGUUCCAUGGCUGCAGUGGCAACAGAAUGUUCCAAAAGCUAACAUAAGGAAAAUAUUUGGAUUUUUUGAGUAUGAGUGACAAAGAGUUGUUUAGUAUUUAAUCAUCAUUCUAUCUGAAAUUACUGGAAGGAUGAAACGGUCUUACCACAUAAACAUUAUGGUAUAUGCAUUGGAAUUUCCAUCAUAUUGUUAUAAUUCACAGAAGAAUUUGUUCUGAGAAUAACAGUCAAUCGCUUUAGUUAGGCACAGUUGGGCCAACUCACAGGAUAUAAGAUGAGCUCUUAUACUUAAAUUCUGUGAUAUAUUGGUGCCCAUCUAUGAGCAUAAACCUUCAGAGACACAUUACUAGGGAUACUUUAAGAUAAGCUCUGAUACAUAAAUUUUAUGAUACAUUGGUGCCCACCUAUGAGUACCUGCAGACACAAGUUUCUAUAUGGUUUCUUUUUCAUGCACUAAGAAAAAAGAAAUGAAAGGAUAAUAUAGUUAUUAUAUAACUAGGAUUAGAAUAUAUGUAUGAAAAUAAGGUAACACUAGCUUGGAGUUGGGUUAUAUAUUAUGACCGAGUAACUUUAGACUUAAUCAGGAUAGCCUCUUGUUUGUGUUACAGUAAUUUUAUCUUUAUUGCUCCAUACUUAAUAAGUGCUUGUUUGAAGACAAUAAAAAACUUAUGCAGAAAUGGAGAGAUAAAGGAAAGGUGUGCAUGGCAUGUUGCAUUCCUUACCAGAAACGUAAACUGGAUGAGUCUCAAGGUUAGCACACAAUUUUAGUGCUCUUGGUGCUAUGGGUUGGAUGGUCCUUGAAAACCAUAUCCGAAGUUUGAUGAUGUGAUUUUUUUGUCGUGCUUUGAAUUUUCGAAGCUUGAAUCUUAAACAUCUCAUUCAUGACAUAAUUGACUAGUUGGCAUAUGAAACAAGCUUGAUAUCAAACUAGAAUGGUCAUCAAGAGUAGUAAGUCUGUACUAUUUAACAUUGAUUUUUACCUUAAGUUCAGUGUUAACAGUAUGGCUUAUACUGCUUCAUGUUGUCCACUAUGCCCAAGCUUUUUCCUUUUAAUUUUUCCUUUCCUCUCUUACUUGCUGACAUUCACUUGACCACCACCACCUUCUUCAAAAGGAAUAUUAGCAAGUUUUAAGGACCACCAUGUUGAUUCCUUUCUUGUUAUAUAGCAUUGUUUUUUAUGUCAAUUGGGUAUCAUGUUCAGUCCAGAUUCAACUGUGCUUUCUUAAAAUAUUAAUUAGUAUGUCAUCAAGGAGGCUUCUCUCUCACACACAUGCACAUGUGCACACACACAGAGAUUGAAGGGAGCAGCUAUUUUACACCUAAACUAAAAUAUGAUGUUUCCAUGUUCCUUUACAUUACCAGCCAUUUAAUUGGAUCAUGCUGGUUUAAGCGACCUGAAUACAAAGACAACCUGUGAUCAUUCAAUUACCAUGGUAGUGCUCACUGAGUCUGGUGUCCUUGUUGAUCAACACUUCAGAAUGGUUCGGUUCUUCAACCAACCUUGUAUUAUUUAAACCUUUGUUAUGUCAAGCUAAUGAACUCAGAUACUUAUUUGAUGCCUUUCACAUCCUGUUAGAUCAAUGCAUCAUGAGCAAGAACAACUACUAACUCAUUAAUAAUCCUUCUGACUACUGGAUUCUUAUGCAGUUUUGUAGAUACAUUGACUCUGUAGAUUGUAUUAUUUUCAUUCAAUUAGAAGCUUCAAGUACAUUAAUGUCCCUCUUUCUUAGUUCAGUAUCAUUAUUGGUACAUACUAUGUCUCCACAUACUGAGAAUCUUCAGCAAAAUGAUAUUCUUUUCAAAAUCCUACUUUGGAAAAUACUAUAUAUCAACCACUUAAUGAAUGCCAUGCAUCAAACUUCUUUCAUUGAGGUGUUUUUUUUCUUGUAAACAUGAUUCCAUUUCGCCACAGCCUUAAGAAUGUUAAAGUAUGCCAUGCGAUCAUGCUAUCCUUGAGAUGGAACUGUAAGGAGUACUUCUAUUCAGAACAUCUUGUCAAACCAUGAUGAGCAUGCAUGAUUAAUAUGACAUCACCACAAUCAUGUAAACUCGUCAGGUAAGUUUGUGAAAUUAGUGAGAGAAAUGUUUUUUACACUACCAAACCAAGGAUUUAAAUCUUGGUUAUACAUCAAUUUCAGUAUAUUAAGAAAUAUAUUAAUCACAUUGCCUGGUAUUGUUGGAUAAAAUAACAUAAAACAAAAAUGAAUCAUAUGAUACCGAGACAUUUUGAUACUGGUAUUUGGUUGGAGCAGCAUAUAUUGAUCCAUACCAACCUGUAUGGUUGACGAUUGAGAUACGGUGUCAAACAUCCACAUGUUUAUGUGUUUGAAUAUCUACUUCGGCAUUAUUCUUCAAUUAAGUUUUGUUUCCAUUAUUAUUCCAUAAAUUAUGGCUUAAGAAAAUAAAGCAUCAUCAUAUAGUUCUUAAUGGAUUUCCUGGGAGUUUGCCCAAGUGGGUGUAGGAAGCAUUUUCUACUUGGUAACUAAAUCAUGGCCACUUUCAGAUUGUUUGGUCAUACGUGGGUGGAUGGUUUGACCAGCCACAAGUGUAUAUUGAUACAUAUCAUGAGAAUCAAAGAGCCCAUAAUGGAAUCUGUUGCACUUGCAAGCAUUUAGAACCUAUGUCUUUUGUCAUGGUUUCAGUGGAAAGAACUAGGCAUUCCCUGACCUCCGACACAGGUUCUACAUUUAUUGUAGGUCAUUAUUUUCUUUAGUCCACAUGGUAAAUUUUUUUAAUUACCAUAAUUGACAAUGUGGUGUCUAAAAAACUGCACUCAGCUUGGAUCAUAGUGUGGUAAGAUUAUAUAUGGAUCAACUUUAAGUUGUUUGACAGGCUAAAAAAAAUUUUGUGAUGCACGAAUAUUAUGGUGUUAAUUGAAGUUUAAUCUUCUAUACAUCAUCUAGGUUAGACUUUUAUAUGUGACAUUGUGAAUUAUGAUAUAGGUAUUGUGAUGCAUGUUUAGAGGCUGCUUUCAUGCUAAGAUUCUAUUGUGUUCAAUUUGCAGUGGAACAACAUAAUCCCUGUGCCAAACAGUAUGUUUGAAUGCAAGAGAAGAGAUGUAAUGAUUCUGCAUUCCAGUAGUGGGGCCAAUAUUAUUCAAGGUGAAUCAGUGGGCACAUCUACAAUCUUUCUUACACAACAGAUGUUUGACAGGUAUGCACUGACGCAUUAGCUUUAUUUUAUUCCCGAAGAUAAUGCUAUGAUAAUUGGGAGCACCACCACCCAAAUAAAAGGUGUAAGGCCGAAAGCUCUUGGACUAGAACAUUUCCUUGUCACUACUUUAAUUGCCCUGUGGCAGCCACACAGUCUCACCAUCUUGCAUGAUCACUCUUGCAAUUCCCAUAUGUGAUAUUUAUCAUGCCCUUGUUUGGGAGACAUCUGAUGUUAGAUAUCAUGCAUCCACAUCUUCAGUAGAAAAUAGUUGAAGGUUGAAAGAAAAUUGUGCUGUUCGUACUACCCCUCUCAUCUCCUUCUUAAAGGCCUUAUCAUGUGGAGUGUGGCAGCAAAGUUUGAGGUUACAUACAUUGAUGAAACACACACUUUGAGGAAGACAAAGUGGUUUUGUUGAAACACUUUGUACUCUUUACAAAACAAUAUUUUGGGCCAUUCCUACUUGUAGGUUUUCUGAUAUAAACCUUUUUCAUGAAAAAAGCUUAAUUCCUGUUAGUUAUAAUGGAUUUGUGCUGGCUUUGACAUUAUAAUAUAAUCCAUAUUGAAGUAUUAUUUGUGUUUGCAGUAAUUAGUGAUUUUGAGUAGAAUCCAUGAAAUUUAGUUGGUGGUUCCCAACUAAAAAUACCAAGUACUGAAGUAACACAUGUUUCCUUAUCAACAGCAGACUGUUCAGUAGAUUAGUCUAUUACUUGCACGAAAACACCUAAGUUCCGAGGCCUUGGUUUCAGUAACUGGUGUGUCAGCUCUCCAUCCAAAUCUGCCCCGUAAUCUGAAGAUUACAUAGAUUUCCAUAUAUGUCAUCAGCAUAAUGUUUUGUUCAUAUCACCUUCAUCGAUUGAUAUCCAUUACCUGAAGAACUGUCUGCUGAUGAAUAAUAAUCUACCUUGAUGGGAGAGUGAUUCUUAGAAUAAAAACAUACAUCAGAACAAGCUUUUUAUAUAGAUAACAGAGAACUUCCCACAUUUCUGUAGUUGUUACAGUAGAUACCAUGGAUUAACAGAGAUCGACUGAUCUUUGUCGCAGGGACUAAGGACUCGCAUGCACGAUUUCACUACAAUUUACAGAGAAAGACCAUGCUGCGUCAACAAUUAGAGAGCAAGAGGUCAGUCAUGGGAUACAAGUCUUCGUCCUCCAUCCUCCACAGCGACGCAGAACAGUCUUCCCAUAUGGGGGAACUCACCGGAGGGCAUUCCAUGUUGCAAGCCGAUCCGCCCUUGUAUUCGUCAAAGCUCAGCUGGCUGACGGAUUCCGAUGCGGCGAUCUCAUUCCAGAUCUGAUCCAUGGUGUACCCCUUCCCUUCGUUAUCGUUCACUUCAAGCCCUGAGAUCAACGAGGUUCCCUCUGCAGUGCUGCAACCUUCAUGCUUUUCCGCCCUGAGCUCCGAGAUGUUACUAGAGGACGAGGAAGACGGCGAGGGAGCCGAGCUCGUCCGCCGCUCCUGUGCCUUCUUCCUCAUGUGCGUCCUCCAGUAGUUCUUGAUCUCGUUGUCGGUGCGCCCCGGUAGCCGCC
rnacentral:lncRNA from 1 species